AGCAUGUUUCUCAUUUUAAAAUGUUCAUUUUCUUAUUCUGUUACUUCCCUUAUGUUGGCCAUAAUUUUCGUGAUUUCAAUGGGGGGAUGUUUGCGGAGCUAUGCCCGCAGUCAAUGAGAAAGCGCUAAAAUGUCAUUGGAAUUGAAUCAUAUCUGACAAUUUUUGAUAACUC
rnacentral:ribozyme from 11 species